rnacentral:tRNA from 1 species
GCCGCUAUAGCUCAGGGGUAGAGCAACACAUUGGUAAUGUGUAGGUCGCGGGUUCAAUUCCCGCUAACGGCACCA